rnacentral:rRNA from 1 species
CAGCCGCCGCGGGAAUACGGAGGGUGCAAGCGUUAACCGGAAUUACUGGGCGUAAAGCGUGCGUAGGCGGUUCGUUAAGUCUGUUGUGAAAGCCCCGGGCUCAACCUGGGAACUGCAUUUGUGACUGCAUGGCUAGAGUACGGUAGAGGGGGAUGGAAUUCCGCGUGUAGCAGUGAAAUGCGUAGAUAUGCGGAGGAACACCGAUGGCGAAGGCGGCUUACUGGCUCAUACUGGACGCUGAGGUGCGAAAGCGUGGGGAGCAAACAGGAUUAGAUACCCCUGUAGUCCCUGUCUCUUAUAA